rnacentral:rRNA from 1 species
UACGUAGGGUGCGAGCGUUGUCCGGAAUUAUUGGGCGUAAAGGCUCGUAGGCGGUUUGUCGCGUCGGGAGUGAAAUCCACUGGCUUAACUGGUGGCUUGCUUUCGAUACGGGCAGACUGGAGGUAUGCAGGGGAGAACGGAAGUUCCUGGUGUAGCGGUGAAAUGCGUAGAGAUCGGCAGGAACACCCAGGGGGAAACCGAGUCGACUGGGCAUGCUACUGACGCUGAGGUGCGAGAGCG